GACAGUGUGUGUGUGUAUCCUUUUUUGACUCGCGAUCGCCGUGCCAAAAUUUCUGAAAAAAUGGAUCAAAUUCGGCAUAAAUGUGGAUAUUGUGGGUGGCUCUUUAGCUUCACCACAAAUUUUAUUGAUCAUUAGUGCUUCAAGCAGUACGUUGAAGGAGAAGACCACAUCAGCAUCGAUGAAAACCAUAUCGUAACAAUAAGUAUAAUUUGUUGGCAAGAACCGCUAAUACAAGAUUAGAAUCCAUGUUUAAGA